AAGGACGUAUAACUAACAUAUCUAAUAUACGUCCUUGAUCUAACCAAUAUUACAUUAGCAAAAAAAGGGAGGUGCUCCUUGUAGAGGAGAUUAGGGAUAAUACAGAAACGGCUAAACAAGUUGUAAAUACGUAUUUGAUAUCAGACUUAAGUCUAGUACAGGUAAACCUUAUUUUACACAUGUGAUCGAGACAGUUGGACGUUUGUCUUGGACUUCACUGUCAGACUGGCUUGGAAAAUGGCACAACUGCUUGAACCUUUAAGAAUACUGGAGUCUAACAAUUCUAAAUGCAUCAUUGUUAUGCUGAACAGACCUCUUUAUCCAGACCUGAAAUUGAUUAGGUUUCUAUGGAAUAAAUCAGUGUUCAAGCUUUCGGUAGAUGGUGGUACCAAUGAACUUUAUGAUAAUUUAUCGAAGAAUGACGAAUGUUAUAUCCCUGAUUUAAUUUCUGGUGACUUUGAUUCAUUGAGGCCAGGUGUUAUGGAAUUCUUUGAAAACAAAGGUGUAGAAAUAGUGUCAACACCUGACCAGAAUUAUACAGAUUUUACAAAGGCUUUACAAUUACUUGCAGAGAAGAUGAAAUUUAAAAAGAUGAAUGCAAGCUGUGUUAUUGUAUUAUGUGCUUUUGGUGGACGGCUUGAUCAGAUUUUUGCCAAUAUUGACACACUAUUUCAUUUUGAACUCUCCAUUCCUAUUUAUCUCAUGUCAGAGAGUAACCUUGCUGUGCUACUCAAAGACGGAUCAUACAAAAUAUCCGUUAAAUCUUCUUUUCGAGACGACUGGUGCGGUUUGGUACCCAUAGGAGAGCCGUGUGAAUCUGUUUCUACAACCGGUCUUAAAUGGAAUCUUAAUAAACAACGUCUUAAGUUUGGUGAAUUAAUUAGUACAUCAAACACUUAUGAGUCUGGUCAGACUGAAUCUGUUGAAAUAGAAACAGAUAAACCACUUCUAUGGACAAUGGGCUAUUCACAAUUUUAAAAGAACAACCGUAUGUAGUGGCAUGAACAUGUUCAGUUCCAAGAAAAAAGUCUAAAAGGAAGGGGGGAAAUCCCAACCUUGAAUAAAGUGUUACUUAGUUAAAAUACAUAGAAUACAAGUGCUUUCCCUUGCAAUGUACUUGAAUAGCAGGACUUUGUUUUUCAUUUCCUGAUUAAAAUAAGUCAAGUGUUACACUGACUGGUUGAAUCAUACAUGUGCAAUAUAUAAUAUUUGGAAGAUAUUUUUUUUAUGUAUGAAGAAGAUUUUUAUGUCCAUUACAUGGGCUCACACGGAUCAUAUUACGAUAUUAGACAUUAUAUUCAAAAAUCAAUAAUCAGGUAAAGUUACUACAAAGAAAAAAAAGCAGUUUGAACAUGUAUGAACUCCUUAUAUAUAUAUAUAUAAAACACAAAAAAACAGUUAAGUUGAGAAUAAAAUAUUAGCAUCAUU